rnacentral:lncRNA from 1 species
ACCUGAGCUUCCGCUCCCGCCCCGCUGAAACAGAAGAGGGCCCUUGUGGGCUGGUUUUGGCUAGUUUGGUUUACUUUUCGUAGCUGGGUCUGCAUGGUAGCCUCGCUGGAAAGCUACAGCUCUGAACCUCUCUCUGCGAGGUCUUUUUGACAAGCUGUUUGGGGCACCGCGCAGACGUCUGGCGCCGGGAGCCAGAGCUCGGGCCCGUUGCUGAGCCCUGUGUUCCUGCAGGCGAUGAAGCUAGGGGCGGUGGGAGGAAGGGAAUCUGGAGGUGGAAAGGACUUUGCUGUACGCGUGCGGCAGGGAUGGUGGUUAAUUUAUAUGUCUUAGCCUUCCAGAAAUGAUUUAAAGCGACAUAGCAGGAGAUAGGAGCCUUAGAUUUAUUGCCGCCAAUUAUAAGGAAAGAUGAUUGGAUUGAGAAAGGUUCAUGCUUGUUCCUCAGUACUUGAGACGGUUAAUUUUCAUCCAAGCUGGUAGUUUAACGUCUUCCAGGUUUUGGCUAUAUUCAAGCAUAACUGCAUGCACUUGCUAUACUGGAUGAAAAUGGUCUCCAUCCUUGAACACAGUUGUAUAUGUCACCACCAGCGAUAUGAAUACAGUACUAACGCAGAGGGAGCUUUAUGAAUUGUAACUAGCAUGCACUGGGGACACUUGACAGAAAGUUUCCUUUCAUGCCGUUUUUAUACCAAAAUGAAUGUGAUUUACCUUAAGGUUUGUAAAGUGCUUUUAUGUUAUGUACAGCUUUGUCUCGCUGAAGUUGGCUGACACAGCCUUAUUGAAUUUGGAUGAGAGUUCCACCUCUCCUCCCUUCCUCUGGGAAGUGCCACCUCUGGGCUAAAUAGCUGGGAAUAGAAGGUAUUGUUUACUGCCCUAGAGGCCCUUAUGUUAUAAAAAUAAUUGGUUUGCAUAAUGAGAACCCUCAAAAACAAGGUUUGGAUUUAGUUAUUCCAAUAGGAGAGAAAACCUUACAAAUUGUCCUUAAUUAUAGUUAUAAAAAGUGUUUUUUACUCUACCAAAAGACAUUAUAUUGAUAUAUGAUUUUUACCUUACAGAGUUUUAAGACUAGACAUAGUUUAUCCAUAUGAAGCACCUGGAUACAUAUUAGGUGCUUGUUUAAUAGUAACUGUUAUGUACAAGCUUUUCUUAAGUGAAUAGCAAAAAUACAAAGUUGAGAGGUAGCAUCAACUAAAUCAAGCAGGAAAUUAAACAUUUUUGUCACUUAGGGAUCUUUGGUUACAAGCAACAGAAACAAACAGGCUAAUUUAAACUAAAACGGAAUUUAUUAGAAGUGUAUGGAGUAGCUCACAAAAUAAGUAAAGCCAGCCCUGAAAGAACAGGAACUUAACAAUACUAUUGGGACUGCCUAACAGGAAUUAGAAGUUCUUAUCCAGGCAACGUUGUUGCAGUGAACGAGCUUCCACCAAUUUCUGUUUGUGACUCUGCUCGUGAUACAAAUUUUGACUGACCUCUCUUGGUUCAAGUUCCCUCUCCACCCUGUCUUUCACUCUUAGCCAGGGGAAGGCAGGAUGUCUUGAUUGAUAGUCCCAUGGAAGUACUCCAAAAGUUAACUAAACGUAUGGCAUAAGAACGCCUAUAAUCCCAGCACUUUGGGAGGCCGAGGCGGGUGGAUCACCUGAGGUCAAGAGGUCAUGACCAGCCUGACCAACAUGGAGAAACCCAGUCUGUACUAGAAAUACAAAAAAUUAGCUGGGUGUGGUGGCACAUACCUGUAAUCCCAGCUACUCGGGAGGCUGAGGCAGGAGAAUCGCUUGAACCCUGGAAGCGGAGGUUGUGGUGAGCCGAGAUUGCACCAUUGCACUCCAGCCUGGGUAACUGAGCGAGACUCCAUCUCCAGAAAAAAGAAAAGAAAAAGGAAAGGUAGGGCCUGGUAUGGUGGCUCAUACCUGUAAUCCCAGCACUUUGGGAGGCUGAGACGGGUGGAUCACGAAGUCAGGAGUUUGAGACCGGCCCAGCCGACAUGGUGAAAACCCAUCUCUACUAAAAAUACAAAAAUUAGCUUGGAAUGAUGGUGCAUGGUGGUGGAUGUCUGUUAUCCCAGCUACUCUGGAGGCUGAGGCAGGAGAAUCACUUGAACCCGGGAGGUGGAGGUUGCAGUGAGCCGAGGUCACACCACUGCACUCCAGCCUGGGGGACAGAGUGAGACUCUGUCUCAAAAAAAAAAAGAAAACAGAAAUUUGCAACUCGAAUAAGAGGUCUGGGAGGCCCAAAUCUUUUAGACGUGAUAAUCGGAAUGCCCUUCUGAGGACAUAACAAAGGCCUAAAUUAUGAGGAGCCAGCCAUAUGAGGAGUUGGGGAAAAGAAUAUUAGGCAGAAGGAAGAGUAUUGUGAAGACCCUAAGGUGGGAAAGAGCUUGGUGUGUUUGAGGGCUAUUAUAACUGGCAAAAGGUGAAAUGAUGAGGAAAUGAGCAGUAACUGAAAAGCACAAAAUGAUGUUAGAGAGGUAGACAGGCCAAACCAUGCAGGGACUCACAGGCCAUGGGAACAACCCUGGAUUUUAGCCCAAGUGCAAUGGGAAGCCAAUGAAGGAUUCACACACCAGAGAUGUGUGAUCAG